rnacentral:rRNA from 1 species
CGGGGUGAGUAAUGUCUGGGAAACUGCCUGAUGGAGGGGGAUAACUACUGGAAACGGUAGCUAAUACCGCAUAACGUCUUCGGACCAAAGUGGGGGACCUUCGGGCCUCACGCCAUCGGAUGUGCCCAGAUGGGAUUAGCUAGUGGGUGGGGUAAUGGCUCACCUAGGCGACGAUCCCUAGCUGGUCUGAGAGGAUGACCAGCCACACUGGAACUGAGACACGGUCCAG